rnacentral:lncRNA from 1 species
UCCUCGGAAAAAGAGAUUUCACUACCGACAGCUCUUCGAUUCUGACGAUUCGGUUCCGUCUACCUCGGCGACCGGCUCAGCCAUCCCGGAGUCCUCGGGAACACAACAGACGGUUUCCCAACCGGUCGUUGUUCCGCAGCCACCACCGCCUCCACCACAACCAGUCGAACCAGCGGCUCCCGCACAGGCCGAGCCUGAUCACGAUGAUCCUAUCCCGCCUAUACCGUAUGCCCAGUAUACGGUACACGAUCUUCUGGCGCAACCCGGUCGUGGGAGCAUGAACAAACUCGACCCGGAUCGAGCCCCCGGCACCUAUUGGUACGUAAAUUUUCC